UGAUUGUUGGAAUCACUGCAAUCACACUCCUCAACGUGUAAAGAGGGGAUGGGGCUGGAAACCCUGGCCUGAACACCGAGGUUCCCACAGAUGAAGACUAGGCCUUUGGGAUGACACAGCGCCAGUGUGGCCAUCAGGAGUGGGCCUUCAAGGGCUCCUCGACUCAUCACUCUCCGCUAUGGAAAAGCCAGGUCGUCCCAGGAGCCCCUUCAGCCACGCCACGCUCUCAGUGUUGCUCAGCCGACCCAGGAUUAAUAUUUGGGGAGAUGAAGAAACAUAUUUCCAAAUCCCAGAGGGGAUCACUUGGGCCAAGCUCUACUCCUUCAAGAUGUACGAGUUGCCGCACUGAUGUCUCCACCUAGAACUUGUAAAGAUACUCAUGAAUUUCCACAAGCUGCACACCCACUCCUCCCAGGCUAAGUGCUGGAUAAGGGGAUCUCCAGCCCAAGAGGCCUCUCCUGCAGGGCCUCUGGGGUCCUUGGUGACCAGUGCACUCAGUCUCUUAGGAAGCCAGCCCCAGCCAGCGAGGUGCAUGGAGUCCACAGAAAAGGGCCCGGCCUUCUCCAAGAUGUUUGUUGGUAAGAUACCUCUCAUGCCUGCUCCUCGACUUGUUGCUACCAUCCAGCCUCGGAGGCCACUUUGUUCUCUUCUUCCCAUUUUUUUCUCUAAUUGUGCUCUUGUCUCCUCUCCACACACACAUACGUCCACCAUACUGUCCUUCCUCCCAUCUGAGUCAUGUCUCAAUCUUCCUGCUUUGUUUCCCAGAUGCCCCUUUCAGGCACAGCUCACCCAGGGAAUGCUAACCCUGCUUUUGUGCAGCGUCCUGUGCAGCCCUGCCCAGGAGGAGUCCAAGCCCACAGGGUUCCCCCUCCUUAGGUCAGCUGUGGAAAGCCAGGCUCAAACAGUGGGUCCUACAUGUUCAAGGUCCCUGGAGAGGAUCGGGGGGGAGAAUUCCAAUAAUUGCAGAUGAAUCCAAAUUAUGGGGAAAGUGCCAGCUGUGAUUUAAGAUCAGAUAAAGGACAAUGCAAAGGGGGAGAGUAGGAGGAGGGUGACACUGAGAAUAUCUGCUUAUUUCCAUUUUUGUCAUCUUGAACUUUAGCUACAUGACUACGAUCUGCGGCCCCAUUAUUCUGGCUGGUUAGUGCAUCAGGCCAAGAAUAAAGCAGUUAAUUUCCAAGUAACCUUGACUCGCAAUGCGGAGAGCCUCUCAGCACGUCAGGGCCAGCCACGUUACGAGGUCACUGCUCCCUUUAACAGCCUCUAGCGGGAAACACAAAAGCCUGCAUACUGGCUGUGUUCCCUUGCCCUGGACUCCAUCCUGUUUGGGUGGGUCUCCCUUGCUUGGCAUAUGUGUGAAGGCAUCUGUCUGUUUCCCCUACUCUAGUUUGGUCUGAAACUGAUUUAUUCAAAAUCUGUUAUGUAUUUAGCAUGUGUCAUACCCCGAAUACUGAGUUUCAGUGCUUUUAAAGUAACUUGUACAAUUAAUUACACUUUAUAUACGGGUUAUUAGAGGUUGAGCUGGCAGGAAGCAUGUAUGUAUUGGGCAAGAAUAAUAUGCAGAUGGUAUGUAACAACUAAACCAAUAGCUAACAUUUGUGUAAUGCGCUGUAGUUUGCAGAGCACUUGCAUAUGCAUUAUUGCUUUUGGUCCUCACAAGAACCCCCUUGAGGUAGGUAGCAGAGUAAAAAAAAUUAUUACUCCCAUUUUACAAAUGAUAAAUAUGGGACUCAGAGAAGUUAUAAGUGGCACAGUCAGAACUCUAGAUUAGAAAUUUUACUUAAGAACUCGCAAGCUGAAGCUGAAAAAUAUGCAACUUUAGCUCCUGGGGUUCUUUAGUUACUUUGUUUGAAAUUCUCUGUUAGUCUGCACUGACUUUUAUUUAACAUCUUUAUUGAGGUGUAACUGACAUACAUAAAACUGCAUGGAUUUAAAGUGCACAACUUGAUAAAUUUUGACAUAUGUAUAUACCCACGAAAUCAGCACCAUAAUUAAGAUAAUGAACAUAUUCAUCACCCGCAAGUUUCCUUGGGCUUCUUUGUAACCUUCUUCUCUCUCCUUCCUACCUUCCCCAGGGAAACACUCGUCUGCUUUCUGUCACAAUACAUUAAUUUGCAUUUCUUAGAAUUUUAUAUAAAUGGAGUCAUAGAGUAUGUAGCCUUUUUUAUUUUGCUUCUUUCAUUCGGCAUAAGAUACAUUCAUGUAGCAUAUAUCAAUAAUUCAAUCCACGUUUUUAUUUUUGCUGAGUAGUAUUCCGCUCCAUGGAUAUACCACAGUAUGUUUAUCUAUUCACGUGUUGGUGAAUAUUUGGGAGAUUUUAGUUUUGAGCUAUUAGCAAUAAAGCUCCUAUGAGCAUUCAUAUACAGCUCUUUAUAAAGACAAAUGUCUUUAUUUCUCCUGGGUCAAUGUGUAGAAGUAGAAUGUUUUCAUCAAAUACUAUGUGUAUGUUUCACAUUUGAUGAAACUCCCAAACUGUUUUCCGAAGAGGUUGGACCACUUUACAUCCCCCCAGCAGCGCAGGAGUGUUCAAGUUCUUCUCCAUCCUGGCCAAAACGAGCUAGGAUCAGUUUUUUUAUUUCAGGGAACCUAAUUGGUGUGUAGUAACAUCUCAUUGUUGUUUUAAUUUGCAUUUCCUUAAUGACUGACAAUGUUGAGCAUCUUUUCCUGUGCUUACUUGCCAUCUGUAUAACUUCUUUGGCAAAAUAUCUGUUAACAUCUUUUGCCCAUUUUUAAUUAUGUUGGGUGUUUUCUUAUUGUUGAGUUUUAAGAGUUCUUUCUAAAUACUGGAUCCAAGUCAUUUAUCAGAUAUAUGCUUUGCAAUUACUUACAGUCUGUAGCUUAUCUUUUCAUUCACCUCAGGGCAUCUUUUUAAAAUUUUGAAUAAGUCCAGUUUACCAAUUUGUUCUUUUAUGGAUUGUUCUUUUGGUAUUGUAUCUAAGAAAUCUUUACCAAAACUGAAGUAACAAAGGUUUUCUCCUAUUAUUUCUUCUAGAAAUUUUAGUUUUAGGAUUUACAUUUAGGUCUGUGAUCCAUUUUGAGUUAAUUUUUGUGUAUGGCAAGAG
rnacentral:lncRNA from 1 species